GCGGUAUGAGUAGCGCAAGACAGGUGAGAAUCCUGUCCACCGUAAGACUAAGGUUUCCAGGGGAAGGCUCGUCCGCCCUGGGUUAGUCGGGACCUAAGGAGAGGCCGAAUGGCGUAUCCGAUGGACAACAGGUUGAUAUUCCUGUACUAGGUUAUAUAGUGAUUGGAGGGACGCAGUAGGCUAAGGUAAGCCAGUUAAUGGAUUCUGGUCUAAGCAGUGAGGUUUGGUAUGAGUCAAAUGCUUGUACCUCUAAGAUUGAGCUGUGAUGGGGAAGCACUUUCGAGUGCGAAGUACCUGAUGUCACACUGCCAAGAAAAUCUUCUAGCGUUUAAUUAUAACCUACCCGUACCGCAAACCGACACAGGUAGUCGAGGCGAGUAGCCUCAGGUGAGCGAGAGAACUCUCGUUAAGGAACUCGGCAAAAUGACCCCGUAACUUCGGGAGAAGGGGUGCUCUACAUUUGUAGAGCCGCAGUGAAUAGGCCCAAGCGACUGUUUAUCAAAAACACAGCUCUCUGCUAAAUCGUAAGAUGAUGUAUAGGGGGUGACGCCUGCCCGGUGCUGGAAGGUUAAGAGGAGUGCUUAGCGUAAGCGAAGGUAUGAAUUGAAGCCCCAGUAAACGGCGGCCGUAACGAUAACGGUCCUAAGGUAGCGAAAUUCCUUGUCGGGUAAGUUCCGACCCGCACGAAAGGCGUAACGAUUUGGGCACUGUCUCAACGAGAGACUCGGUGAAAUUUUAGUACCUGUGAAGAUGCAGGUUACCCGCGACAGGACGGAAAGACCCCAUGGAGCUUUACUGCAAGUUGAUAUUGAGUAUCUGUUGCACAUGUACAGGAUAGGUAGGAGCCAUUGAUCUGAGGACGCUAGUUUUCAGUGAGGCGAUGUUGGGAUACUACCCUUGUGUCAUGGCUACUCUAACCCGCAUGCCUAAUCGGCAUGGGAGACAGUGUCUGCUGGGCAGUUUGACUGGGGCGGUCGCCUCCUAAAGAGUAACGGAGGCGCUCAAAGUUUCCCUCAGCAUGGUUGGAAAUCAUGCGUAGAGUGUAAAGGUAUAAGGGAGAUUGACUGCGAGACUUACAAGUCGAGCAGGUACGAAAGUAGGACUUAGUGAUCCGGUGGUACCGCAUGGAAGGGCCAUCGCUCAACGGAUAAAAGCUACCCUGGGGAUAACAGGCUUAUCUCCCCCAAGAGUUCACAUCGACGGGGAGGUUUGGCACCUCGAUGUCGGCUCGUCGCAUCCUGGGGCUGUAGUCGGUCCCAAGGGUUGGGCUGUUCGCCCAUUAAAGCGGCACGCGAGCUGGGUUCAGAACGUCGUGAGACAGUUCGGUCCCUAUCCGUCGCGGGCGUAGGAAAUUUGAGAGGAUCUGCCCUUAGUACGAGAGGACCGGGGUGGACUUACCGCUGGUGUACCAGUUGUCUUGCCAAAGGCAUCGCUGGGUAGCUAUGUAGGGAACGGAUAAACGCUGAAAGCAUCUAAGUGUGAAACCAACCUCAAGAUGAGAUUUCCCAUUCUUUAUGAAUUAAGAGCCCUGAGAGAUGAUCAGGUAGAUAGGCUAGAAGUGGAUGGACAGUGAUGUUUGGAGCGGACUAGUACUAAUAGCUCGAGGACUUUACC
rnacentral:rRNA from 1 species